AUCAGAAAUCUAAAGGAGUUCGGUGCUACAGAAACUAAAGAAAUAUUUAAGAAGCGAAAGAGAGCAAUAACAAAAGGUGGAAGCGAAAGUCGAAGCCUGAUGUGGAAAGCUUCUUGGUAUAAACAGAAGCAGCCGGGGGGAGGGGCGCUAGCUCGGUCAGUUGGCUCAGGAAGCUUCAGCUCGUACUCCGGAGGAAUCUCGUACUGAAUCCUAAUCAGUGAGAGUUCCUCCAGAGUCAGAGAGCUGGGGAUAGUAUCUGGUACA
rnacentral:lncRNA from 1 species